rnacentral:rRNA from 1 species
GACGAACGCUGGCGGCGUGCUUAACACAUGCAAGUCGAACGGAAAGGCCCUGCUUUUGUGGGGUGCUCGAGUGGCGAACGGGUGAGUAACACGUGAGUAACCUGCCCUUGACUUUGGGAUAACUUCAGGAAACUGGGGCUAAUACCGGAUAGGAGCUCCUGCUGCAUGGUGGGGGUUGGAAAGUUUCGGCGGUUGGGGAUGGACUCGCGGCUUAUCAGCUUGUUGGUGGGGUAGUGGCUUACCAAGGCUUUGACGGGUAGCCGGCCUGAGAGGGUGACCGGCCACAUUGGGACUGAGAUACGGCCCAGACUCCUAAGGGAGGCAGCAGUGGGGAAUAUUGCACAAUGGGCGGAAGCCUGAUGCAGCAACGCCGCGUGAGGGAUGACGGCCUUCGGGUUGUAAACCGCUUUCGCCUGUGACGAAGCGUGAGUGACGGUAAUGGGUAAAGAAGCACCGGCUAACUACGUG